rnacentral:rRNA from 1 species
AUGCACCCACUUCUUCAUCUUGUCAUUCAGCUGUUUCCACUCCACACGCUGAACCUCGUCGAUGCUGAGCCGCUCGACGCCCAGAACUGUGAGGCACUCAUCAAGCAGGUCCCGGCGGAUGCCGCAGUAAACCUGCACGAGUUCACUUGCAUAGCCAGCGCGCCCCAUCCGCUCAGCAAUGGCGCGCAGCUCAUCAACAGCGUCAGGCCGCACCAGGUCGAACAGCUGGUCGUCGAAGGGGUUCCCCACGAGACUGGCGCUGCGGGCGGUAUCUGGCGCGCCCUCCUGGCUGUGCGGGGUGGUGGGGUCAAACUCGGAGGAGGUGUCGAGGUCGUCCAUGGACUCGAGCGAGAGGCGGCGGAGCGAGCAGUAGAGGCCGCUGGCGUCGAGCGGCACGGCGUGGCGGAGCAUGAGGUGGCGAGCGACUUGACGAUGUGGUGCGCCGCGGCGAGGACCUUGUCGUUGCCGGCGACGGCGACGGCGCCGACGCCCGCCAGAGGCACGGCGUCCUCGGGCGGCGGCGGAGACGCCGACAUCGCCGGCGGGCCGCUAGGGUUUGAUCCGGCGGUGGUUUACUGA